rnacentral:piRNA from 1 species
UAGCAAAACUUUGAGUGUUGCUUGUUCC